AACGAACGCUGGCGGCAUGCCUAAUACAUGCAAGUCGAACGAGAUCUUCGGGUCUAGUGGCGCACGGGUGCGUAACGCGUGGGAAUCUGCCCUUGGGUUCGGGAUAACAGUUGGAAACGACUGCUAAUACCGGAUGAUGUCUUCGGACCAAAGAUUUAUCGCCCAAGGAUGAGCCCGCGUAGGAUUAGCUUGUUGGUGAGGUAAGAGCUCACCAAGGCGACGAUCCUUAGCUGGUCUGAGAGGAUGAUCAGCCACACUGGGACUGAGACACGGCCCAGACUCCUACGGGAGGCAGCAGUGGGGAAUAUUGGACAAUGGGCGAAAGCCUGAUCCAGCAAUGCCGCGUGAGUGAUGAAGGCCUUAGGGUUGUAAAGCUCUUUUACCCGGGAUGAUAAUGACAGUACCGGGAGAAUAAGCCCCGGCUAACUCCGUGCCAGCAGCCGCCGCAG
rnacentral:rRNA from 1 species